UACGUAGGGUCCGAGCGUUGUCCGGAUUUAUUGGGCGUAAAGAGCUCGUAGGCGGUUCCGUAAGUCAGAUGUGAAAACUCAGGGCUCAACCCGGAGACGCCAUCUGAUACUGCGGUGACUGGAGUCUGGUAGGGGAACACGGAAUUCCUGGUGUAGCGGUGAAAUGCGCAAAUAUCAGGAGGAACACCGAUGGCGAAGGCAGUGUUCUGGGCCAGUACUGACGCUGAGGAGCGAAAGCGUGGGGAGCAAACAGG
rnacentral:rRNA from 1 species